rnacentral:antisense_RNA from 1 species
CGGCAGAACAGCUGACAUCACCAACUUUAAAGAGCCCAACAGAUGAACUGAUCAGCAUGAGAAUACUGUUUUUUCAUCUCUCUGUCCCAUGACUUCACUCUGCAUUCUUCAACCAAUUAGUGAUCUCUUAUUUCCACCUACUCCAAAUCCUUAAAAACUCCAGCCUCAAACUCUUUGAGGAAAUGGAUUUGAGGUUUCCUUCCAUCUUUUGGUUCAGCAGCCCUGCAAUUAAACCUCUUUCUCUGCUGCAACCCAGUGUCUUGGCAUAUUGACAUGCUGUGCACAUCAGGCAAAAGACCUAUUACCAUUACAUGAGGACCCCUCUGGAGGGAGAUAAUGGUGGGGGCAUUUCUGGGAGGCUCUGCUUUAGUCAGGGUGCACGUGUUGCCGCAGGAAUCGCUGGUACAUGCCAUCCUGGCCAUAGGAGGGCUGGACCAGCCCCAGCCCCAGCAGGGUCAGCAGCAAAAGCAGAAGCAAUGAAUGGGUCCUCUGCAGAGCCAUCAGUAUCUUAGAGGUGCCUAGAAAAGAAAGCAAGGGGCAGGAGAAAUAAGAGAGAAGUUGCUGUAGCCAGUACAAUGACACAGGGCAGGGACUGACUGCGUGGCUGCCAGGCUUGUGUGGUCAGAGUAUAAAAAGAGAGAAAAAGGGUGAGGUCAGGCCCCGUCUCCUCAUGAUGCUUUCACAGUAUCUGUGAUCCCGGCCCUGUGGUUUGGCAUCAUAGUGCUGGGUCAGGAAGUGUGUGUACCUGGAGUUAUCCUGAGCCAGGGUCGGUGGGGUCAGACCCAGACCCAGCACGAAGACCAACAACAAAACGCCCAGGCCCAUCACCAUCUCUUCCAACACAGGCUCCUGCCGAGGGCAAAAGGAGGUGUGGUAGACACAAGAACAGCAUCACCAAAUUAGGCUAAAAGGACAG